rnacentral:rRNA from 1 species
UCCUACGGGGGGCAGCAGUGGGGAAUAUUGCACAAUGGGGGAAACCCUGAUGCAGCGACGCCGCGUGAGUGAAGAAGUAAUUCGUUACGUAAAGCUCUAUCAGCAGGGAAGAAAAUGACGGUACCUGAGUAAGAAGCCCCGGCUAACUACGUGCCAGCAGCCGCGGUAAUACGUAGGGGGCAAGCGUUAUCCGGAUUUACUGGGUGUAAAGGGAGCGUAGACGUUGCGCCAAGUCUG